rnacentral:rRNA from 1 species
UACGGAGGGUGCGAGCGUUAUCCGGAUUCACUGGGUUUAAAGGGUGCGUAGGUGGGAAUGUAAGUCAGUGGUGAAAUCUCUGAGCUUAACUCAGAAACUGCCAUUGAUACUAUGUUUCUUGAAUUUUCUGGAGGUCAGCGGAAUAUGUCAUGUAACGGUGAAAUGCUUAGAUAUGACAUAGAACACCAAUUGCGAAGGCAGCUGGCUACAGGGAUAUUGACACUGAGGCACGAAAGCGUGGGGGAUCAAACAGG